GGCUGACGAGAGGAUUCCAGGAGUGGCAUGCUGGACCUUGGCUGCUGCCGUGAGAAAUGAGCUCAGCAACUUUGGACCGGGAUCCAGGCCCGUGCAGCCCUUCUCCGCCUGCCUCCUCCCCCCCUGCCCGUUCUGGCCCUUUCUCUGUGAAGGCUGCGCCUCCUCCAGCUGGAAGCGGUGGGGAGGGCUGCCAGGCCCACGCGGAUACCGUCCACAGCCCCCGGCCCCCAGCCAACCUGGCUGGCCCGGCCUGGGCAGGUGGGGGUGAUCAGCGCCAGCUCCAGAGUCCCAGAAAUCGGAGCAGGGAGGGACCCUCGGCAUACCACGCCUGACCUCCUCCUCGGAUGAUGCGAAAACCACCAGCAAGAGUGGCUACUUGACCAAGGCCACACAGGGAGCUGGGGCUGAAGUCCUUUCACCUGCUAAGCCAAAGAGAGAACACUGUGGCCCUGGGGUACCGGGACCUCAGAAAUGAUCUCUUUGGGAUCUUGCUCCAUGAAGGGUAGGAAGGACUAGUGGGGAGGUGCCCCCAGCUUCAGGCACUUUUCCAGCUGGUUUGUGCGGGAGCCGACCCUCACUUACCUGCUUGUUCAUUCUCACCUCUCUGCCUCCUCCUCACACACAGUGGACCUCUGUCACUCUCGCCCCCCGCCUGGUCUCUGCCCCCUGCCUGUGGGGAUCUGCUCCUCCUCUCACGUGAGGUCUGGGUGGUCCAGCCCGUCUCAGUCAUGAGCCCUCCAGGGCUCGGGCAGGAGCGCUUUCUGCUUUUUUUUUUUUUUAAUGUCUUCUUUUAAAAUAAUUAUAGACUCACAGGAAUAUAAGAGCUUUUCAAGAGCUUAGAAAAUAUUUGAGACCUGGAGAAACAAUGUAUUGGAUCCAAAAUACUAAAACAGCAGAGCUGAAAUUAAUCAGUGUUUACUGCGCUGAAAUGAAAACUCCCCGGUCAUAAACACUGUGUUACAUUUGGAAACAAUUUGGUAGGCUGAAUUUUCUUACUUCAAAGAUGUGCCCAAGUAUUCCUAGAGGCUGGUCACCCCUCAGUGAGAUCCCCACAGCUAAAUAACGUCUACUUUGAAAAAUGUGGAGCAAAAAAACCCACCCCUAUAUAUAUAUAUAUUGAAGGUGGGCUUUGGGUGCAUUUUAGUGUUUUCUAUCCUGCGUCUGGGGUCUGUGUAUCAGCAGAGUUUUUGGCUACAAGGAAUAGAAAAAUCAACAGAAAUUGCUUUAAAAUUAAGGAAAAUUUUCACAUAACAAGAAGUCUGGAGCUAAGAGUUUCCGUGGCAGGUUAGCUCAGUGGCUGGGUGAAAUCAUCGAAGGGCCGGGUCUGUCUGAUCGUGGGUGGUGGCGGGGAGGCGGUCCUUGCUCUUCUGCACGGCCACAUCCACGAUUAGCCCUUGCUCUUAGGCAGACGAGCUAGAGGAUUUGGGAUGAACUUUCUUUACAUCUGCACUGUACUCUCGUGUGGAUCAGUUUAAACACGUAGGGGCUGGCCUGGUGGCAUAGUGGAUAAGUUUGUGCGUUCUGCUUUCGCAGCCUGGGGUUCACAGGUUCAGAUCCUGGGCACGGACCUACACACUGCUCAUUAAGCCAUCCUGUCAUGGUGUCCCAUAUAUAAAAUAAGGGAAGAUUGGCAUGGAUGUUAGCUCAGGGACAAUCUUCCUCACCCAAAAAAAAAAAAGUUAAAAUAUAUAAAGGGCAAUUAAGCAGACUGGCAAAUAUUAACAACUGGGACUCCAGAUGACGGGCAUAUGGGUGUUCAUUGUGCCAUUCUUGCACUUUUUCUGUUGGUUUGGAAUGUUUAUAAAUUAAAAGUUUAAAAGGGGAGUGUGACAUAAUAAGAAAUGUAUAUUUGGUUUCUGACCCCAGUUCCUGACCCAGAACUCCUAAAACGCUUGUAAUUUCCUGAGUUACAGGGGUGCUAGGAGCAUCUUUUGUUCUAAUAUUUGGCCUCUGACCCCAGUUCCUGACCCCGGGCUCCCGAUCCCCUGUAACUUCCUGGGCGAUGGGAGGGUCUUUUGUUCUAAUGAGGUAGCUCUUGGUGGGCUCCUGGACGGUUUCAUGACGUGGGCUGGUCACCAGAGACCGAGGCACGACUGGAAGGUUAGAACCUUUGGCCCCGCACCCCAUCCCCCCGGGAGGGACGAGGGGCUGGAGAUGGAGUUCCUGAUCGCUCAUGCCCCGACCCUGAAGCUUCCACAAAAGCCCCUGGACCACAGGUUUGGGGAGGCCUCUGGGCUGCGAACACAUCUGCCUGCAGGGAGGGUGGCGCACCCAACGCCAUGGGGACAGAAGCUCCUGCCCUGGGGACCCUUCUGGACCUCACCCUCUGCAUCUCUUCACCUGGCUGCUCAUCUGUAUCCUUCAUCACAUCCUUUAUAAUAAAUUGGUAAACCUAA
ensembl:lncRNA